UCUAUAAUCGCCUUCAAAGUUAAUUCCCUUUUUCGUUGUUUUUCUUUGUUUUUUCUACAGUCAUCCAUGGGAAAAAAGAUGACCUGUUCGCACGCCAACAUUAUUGCUCCGUUGGAAAGUGAUUUCAUUGAUCAGGGGAUCCUGACCUACAAUGAGGUCUGUUCCUUUGAUGAUGAGGAUAUGCAAUAACUUAAUUCUAUAGGAGCUUUCCCUUCCGACGUUGUUUUCAAACCUUUCGAUGCAUCUAUUCAACUAGAUUUUACACCUUCCUCAUGGGUAUGUUUUCUGGAAUACCCUUUUUCCCUUGGUCUAAAGUAUCAGUUUUCCGGUAUUGUAUCCAAGUUCUAUCAAGCCACUGGACUUUCAUUUGUUCAAACCAUGCAUUUAAUCUGGAGGAUAGAUUGACCGAGUAAAUCUUUCCCAUGAUCAAGAGAUAGGUCUUCCUAAGUUGGCAUUCGUUUAUCAAAUUUAUAGCUUUGGAAAUUCUCAUUUGUUACUCAAGAUCAAGCCCAAUCGGUCCCCUUUGAUUCUAAAAUCAAAACACAAUGACGGAGCCUGGAAGGAGAAGUAUUUCUUUUUGAGACGUGAUUCUAUCGUCGGUGAAGAGUUUGGUCCUAAACCUUGGGCUAAAAAUGGUUUGAAGUUUGGGUAAGCUUUUUCUGAAGCUAAAGAUACCGAGGCAAAGGUUGCAGGCUUUCAUGAUUUACCAGCUGGUGUUAGGACGUUCAAGUUUGAUUGUGCAAAUCUUUAGGAGGGUUCAUCCACGACUGCUUGCAUGGCUACCGGAUCUAAAACUACUCGUUCCAAUGCUCGCUUUGCUUUGGCUGAUCUUGAGGAUGGCAUGUCUAGUGGUUUUCUCGCUGUGAAGAAGGAAAAGAUCCCACCUUUUGCUCCCACCAAGAAGACCCAACUUGACCUUCCUCAGAAUCCUUCAUGAUCUCGCAACAGAAAAUCUUCCGAUAUCUGGGAUCUUAAGAAUCUAGGGACAGAUGAAGCACUAAAGAAGCUGAUUUCUUUCUCCCAUUCUGUAAGUGUUUUUGUGUUCCCCUUGUUCAAAUUUGAUUUUAUACUUAUUGUCGAUUUUUACAAGUGGCUGAUCAUGUCUCCCGUUCUAAUGAGGAUUCCAAGGCAAAGUUGGCUCAAACAGAUCGUGCCUUGAGGGAGCAAGAGGAGAUCAACAAUGUGCUUUUGCUGAGGGUGGAAAUGUUGCUCAAGGAAAAAGCUGAUAAGGAGGAGGAACAUGCGGCUGAGAUGAAUGAGGUCAUAGUUGAGGCGUAAGCUAGUGUUGCGGUGGCUGUUUGGGAGACGAUGAUUAAGCUUAUGGAAGAUCUGGGGAAUCUGGGGUCUUAGAAUGUGGCUGGAUGGCAUGAGGCCCUGGCCAAGUUGACUGGCAAGCCUAUCAAAGCCAAUCAGGAUCCUGCAUUGUAGUUGGAGGAGGGAGAAUAAAAGGGCAAUACGGAGGUCAUUCCGGGUGGUGGUGAUCAAUUUGUGGUUAAAGAUUGAUUUGGAUUUCUGAAAACAAUAUGAAUGAAUUUAGGUUUGUAAGACAAUAUUACUAUUUUCUUUUUUAUGGGGUUGGUGGGAAACCCUUUCAAUGCUAUGGUUA